UGGAAUGAGGGCUCCUGGUGUCAGCAUCUAUGUCUGGAGGCAUAGUUUUACUGUUCUGUCCCUUAUAGAAUUCUCUACUGGGUCUCCGGGCCUGCAGAAGUCCAAGCCAGGUGGAGGCACAGGAUAGAGAGAUGUAAUUGGAUACUAGAUUCUAUCCCUAAUGAAGAAACUAUCUCAAACAGAUAUCUUGCAAACAAAUAAACAAACAAACAAGCAAAA